GACAACGUGGCCGAGCGGUUAAGGCGAUUGACUAGAAUGGCCUUCUAAGACUCCUAUCGUCUACCAUCAAUUGGGAUUUUCCCGCGUAGGUUCAAAUCCUGCCGUUGUCG
rfam:Puccinia graminis f. sp. tritici CRL 75-36-700-3 supercont2.2 genomic scaffold, whole genome shotgun sequence.